rnacentral:rRNA from 1 species
AACGUAGGGGACAAGCGUUAUCCGGAUUUACUGGGCGUAAAGCGCCCGUAGGCGGCCUGACAAGUUGGACGUGAAAGCUCCUGGCUUAACUGGGAGAGGCCGUUCAAAACUGUCAAGCUAGAGUCUGGAAGAGGAGAGCGGAAUUCCCGGUGUAGUGGUGGAAUGCGUAGAGAUCGGGAGGAACACCAGUGGCGAAAGCGGCUCUCUGGGCCAUUACUGACGCUGAGGAGCGAAAGCCAGGGGAGCAAACGGG